rnacentral:lncRNA from 1 species
GCUGGGCGCACCCGUCCCGUUCGUCCCCGGACGUUGCUCUCUACCCCGGGAACGUCGAGACUGGAGCGCCCGAACUGAGCCACCUUCGCGGACCCCGAGAGCGGCGGCGCGACUCACCGCGGAGGCGCCCGGACGCGUCAAUGUCCCCCAGGGCAAGGCCUGAACCAGGUCGCGAGGGUCUGUCUCCCGUCUGGGGAGCUGAACUGCCCGGGACACUGUCGCAGUCGCGGGGACUUGUCUGGAGCGGCGGGGUCUGAGCCCAAGUCCGAAGCCGCCGCCGCCAGCGUCCCGUGCGCCUGCCGCCCCGGGACCAGCCGCGAAACUUCUUCUCGGGACGGAGACAGCGCUCGCCGCCCGGGCCGAGGUAGGAGCUGGCUGGGCUCGAUAGAGCGCGGGCGAAUCGCUUUCGGCAGCGAAGGAACGUGUCGGGAGAAGCCAACCGCAGGACCAGGGCCCCAGCGGGCGCGCAGAGACGCCUGCCUUGGGCGGAGGUCCCCCCCUCCGGUUUUCGUGGCUCUUGUAGGGCCCUCUGUCCCGUGAGCUCCCCACUGGACCUGUGGCUCCAGGCUUCAGCAG